UCUGACCGUCGAUUAUUUACUCGACAAUUCCAAAAAUCAGUGCCAUUCAUUGGCUUUAGCUUUGCCCUUGAACUUGAAAUCUCGUGCCUUAUUCUUUCCUGGGGACUGGUGUUGGAUAUUGAACGGGCGGAGUUACCGCCGGGAUGAUGGAUGAAGGAGAUGAUGGCCUAAACUUGGCUGCGCGCAUUCUCAUUUUCGCGUGGCCUGCCACUAGUGUUUCGCAGAUUCACAAAGGGUGUCACAGGCAUAGCUGGAGGAAGAAAGGUACUACACGAAUGCGAAACGUGACAAACUCUACAACGUCAUUAGCCUGGAGUUCACCAAGACUAAGUUGGAGCCUCUAGUGGAGUCACCCAGUCUGGUACGUCAUUUGGAUUGGGUGGACUUGGUGUGGUCGGAAACAUUGCGCGCUUUGCAGCAGGAGGCCACCAACCGACUGGUCGACAUGAAAUAUCCCAAAGUGCAAAAGUAUGUGUUUUGUUUGUUCUUGUUGAUGGUGCUGCUGCCGCCGGUGUUGCUGUUACUGGCCGACUGCUGGUACUGUUGAUAGUACUACAGGUGUAGCUGCCCUAUUGCUGGUGCUUGUGCUGCUGCUGUUGUUGGCUUACUGAUUGUGCUGCUGUUGCUGUUGCUGUUGCUGGCUGCCCUACUGCUGGUGGUUGUGCUGGCGCUGCUGUUGCUGGUCUACUGUUGUUGUUGGCUUACUGAUUGUGUGGCUGUUGCUGUUGCUGGUCUACUGCUGUUACUUGUGCUGUUCCUGUUGCUGGCUUACUGAUGGAGCUGCUGUUGUUGUUGCUGGUCUCCUGCUGUUGCUUGUGGUGAUAUGUGUGCAUGUAUGUAUGUAUGUAUGUAUGUGUGUGUGUGUGUGUGUGUGUGUGUGUGUGUGUGUGUGUGUGUGUGUGUGUGUGUAUGUAUGUGUGUGUGUGUAAGUGUGUGUAUGUAUGUGCCAGCUAGUUCGGUUGGUGGGUGCACUUAUGCCUGAUUGUGUUGGGUCUGUUGCCAACGGGCUCGGCUGCUUGAAGGUGUAAUGUGUGUGUGUGUGUGCAUGUAUGUGUGUGUGUGUUUGUGUGUGUGUGUACAUGUGUGCAUGUGUACGCGCGAGUGUAUGUGUGUGGUUGUGUAUGUGUGUGUGUGUGUGUGUGUGUGUGUGUAUGUGUGUAUGUGUGUGUGUGUAUGUUCGUUGACAGGCUGGAUUCAUGCAGUUCACACUCCUGUGGAUUGGCUAGUGUUUGGUGGAAACUUUCUGCACAGUUUCAACAUAAGCGGUCAGCUUGCCGUGGCGGACAUUGAAGAAACUACUGCGGUACGUGAGCUGUGCUGUGCAUGUCUGUGAUAUCUUCUACAACUCUACCACGGCAAUGCCUUGUAUACGGACGCAGCGAAGCUCUCUCCUGCGCCCGCAUGCGCCGAGAUCCCACUGCUGUCAACGGAUGACACUGCAGCCCAGUCGCCAGCGACGGCGGCAGCUGCUGCUGCUGCUGCUUCGUCAGGAGAUGGGAACAGCUCACAAGGCGGCAAGCCACCUCCAUCACCGCCAUCCUGCCUGCUCUCGGACAUGGCCUGUCUCAGCUCGUAUGAGAUUGAUGGCUUGCGACGGCUGCUGGCCGAGCUGAACGUUUCCACGACGAUGGUGAGAGUGUGUCCCGAGGAGCUGGGGGAUCCUGGGGAGCUCAUGUCGACCGUGGAGAUUCUGUUGAACUAGUAUGAAAGCCGGUUUCGCGAGGACAAGGCCACUGGACAUUUUAUGCUCAUUCCGGGAAUACAAUCUGAGAAUCUGCGUGUGUCGCCCGCACCAAUACCUGGCAACAUUGUGGAAAUAGUUGCAGUUGAAACAGAGAUUGUAUGCAAGUCCUCAGCUGCUACUGCAUCUCCAAGAAAGACAGCAGGUAUAUCAUUUCGUGACGACCACAUUGAAGUCUGAAUUUGAAGUGCGAAGAUGCUUCAGCAACCACAUCGUACUUUUCCAUUGCUUUCAUUGUGCUUCUACUGUGCAUGUGUGUAACUUGUGGGGUAUACAUGUGAUGACAUUGUAUGCUGGCGACACGGUCAGAUUUUGUCCAUGCGUGUAACGUACGCCUGCAUGUUAUGCAUCGAAAAGGAUCUGCCACUUGCGAUCCUGGGACAAGUAUCAGGUCAGCUUUGUCUUGUGUGGGCUGUACCAGAUUGCUGUUCACUUUUCUAUCUGUUGGAUAUGUGACUUUCUGCAAGUCUCUGGUGUAUGGUGGCCACUUCUUUGCUUGUCACUUUGUAUGAUAUUACAUUCUGUAUUCGCUGCUUUCAUGGCGUGGUCUGCAAACUGCAAUCCUUGGGCAAAUGUCAUGUUUGCUAUAAUGUGCUUUGGCCGUCAGCUUGUCUACACGUUGUAGUUGAAUUAUUUUGUUCCACAACUGACUUCCUGAAGUACGGUGGCCACUGCUUUGCAUGGCAUUUUA